GGCUGCGUAGUUCAAAGGAUAGAAUGCCAGAUUCCGGUUCUGGUGAUAUGGGUUCGAAUCCCGUCGCGGUCA
rnacentral:tRNA from 1 species